ACGCAUAUGCAUAGCUUCUACUCCGUAGCUAGCUAGCGAUUGACACAUAGCACAACUCCAUACCAGCCGGCAGGCAAGCUACUAGACCCUAUAGUGUGUCUAGGGGGCACGUCCUGUCGAGUGGAUACACACGCAUCUCGUCUAGGGGAGAGGUAAUGGAUAUACCGUUGAACGGUAUACCGUUCUCUAGCAGCCCUCAUUGUCCAUCCCACCGACAGACGCACGAUCCGGCAAUGGCCUGGCUGCCUCGAUCGACUAACGCGAGGCGGCCGGCAACCUGCCAGGCUGCUAGGCGCGACGGUGCUGGCUGGGCGACGAUCUCCGGCGGGCAACCAAAGCAGCCGACAAGGCGACCAGCUAGGCGCGACGGCACCAGGCGGGGGCGGCGGGCGAGGAUCUUCGGUGGAGACGAGCAGCCGACAUACGUGGCGAGGGCGAGCCGGCGAAUCCCCUCCAGGCCAUUCCUCAAACAGCCACUAAUGUCCAAUCAAUUGUUUUGCUCUGUCCACGAGAGCAGAGAGAGGUGUGUUGCAUUCCAUGAAGCCUGUAUCACCCAAGAAAAUCAUGUAGUUCUCAACCCUUGAGGGCGUCUCUUCUACCAUCAGCAGUGCAUUCAUCAUCUGAAAUUCAUUGAAACAAUUGGCAUAGCAAGAACUGCUCUCCAUCAUAUAUAUGGUUUGCUCAAGUAUCAUCCUCCGGAUCCCAGGGUAAUCAACACUUGGUUUCAUAUUCGCAUUCAGUGCAUCCACUAGCUUCUUCACGAAUCUUCGCUUAAUCUGUCCGUGCUCUAGCUCUUGCACAAAUUCUUCAGGUUUGACUUUGCAUAUCUGUGAACUAAGACCAAUGAGGAUUUCUAAUUCUGCCCCUUCAACAUCCGUUAUUGUUUCCAAGACCUGUGUAGUGGAACCAGCAAUGUCAUGUAGCAUGAUGAACAUAGUUGUAAACUAUAAUUAUACUUAUACAAUUUAGUGGUAAAUAAAUGUCCAUUUUGAUUAUAAAAUAAUUAUGUCUUGACAAACAUUAAUAGACAACAAAUGUACAAAUGAUACAACAUACUAUACAUAUCUAAUAUUACACUUGAAGUAUGGAUUAGCAGGGCUCACCUUUUGAAAGGCAUCAGAUAGGUCAUUUUGGUUUGAUUCUGUGAGGUCGGGUUGAGCUUGAGCAUGCAGCAUUGCCAAUGCUUGCCCAGCAACCUUCGGAAGCAAGCAAUCACCAUCUGUACUAGAUGGUCCAUCAGAAUUGAGGGACGCCUUCAUCAGCCUGGUAAUGAGCACCUGCAUUUGCCCAAUCUCCUGC